AUGAUUCUCCUGUGUAUUCAGUGGUCACUGAUGGCUGGAGUGAUGCGCCUAUGGAAUGGUUGGGGGGUCCAGAUCCUAGUGCUUGUUAGCUUCAUGCUGCAAGUGUUCCUGCUCAUGUUCGCCGGGAUGCGACGGCGGAACAUCUCCAUUGUCCCAAGGAACCUCCUCUGGCUAGCAUACCUGCUGGCAGACUACAUAGCGGUAUACAUCCUUGGCCACAUGACCUUCUUUGGCAAGUCCCACGGACACCAACAGCUCAUGGCGUUCUGGGCGCCGUUCUUGCUGGUGCAUCUUGGUGGCCAGGACAACAUCACAGCCUACUCCAUAGAAGACAACAAGCUCUGGCCGCGCCACCUGCUCUCAUUUGUUAUGCAGACAGCGGGAGUGGUCUAUGUCCUAUACAAGUAUGUCGCUGGCAGCUCGAUCUUGGUCAAAGUCUCGGCGAUGAUAUUUGUCAGUGGUUUUCUCAAAUAUGGGGAGAGAGUAUGGGCGCUCAAGUCCUCCAGCCUGGACAACAUGAGUAGAUUCCUCGACAGUAGGAAGUUGAGUGAGGCUAAACGAAAAUGGCGUGCACCAUGGACCCAAGGGGAGGGGUUGGAUCUUGAAGAGACUCUGCAGGGAGGUCUUGACCAAGGGGAGAAGUUGGAUCUUGAAAAGGUUCUACAGGGAGCUCAUGACCUGCUCCCCAUUUGCAUGGCUCAGUUGGUGGACUAUAAGUUCUGGCCAUCUACAUUGCAGAGUCAAACCUUAGAGCUAUUUGCUAACAAGGGCCAAAUGUUCGAGUUGGUUGAGAUGCAGCUCUCCUUGAUGUAUGAUUUCCUGUAUACAAAGGCAGCGGUGGUCUUCACAUGGUAUGGAUGCUUCAUCCGUGCCAUUUCAUCAGUUGCCACCAUCACCGCCUUCUUCCUAUUUCAAUCAAGCAUUGGCAAAAAUGACUUCAACAGAGUUGAUGUCAUUGUCACAUACAUCUUACUAGUUGGGGCUGUCUUCCUGGAAAUGAUGGCAUUAUUGAAGCUAAUCGGAUCAACAUGGACAUGUGCAUUGUUGUGUGCUAGAAGAUGGCACCGGCUUCACCGGCUUCACAACAUGGACAUGUGCAUUCUUUGA
rnacentral:rRNA from 1 species